rnacentral:lncRNA from 1 species
AAUAAAUCUUAGGGAAAACUUCAAAUACCCCUUAUAGUUUCACUCUUUCUCACUUUAGUAUCCCGUGGUUUAAAGUGUAUCAAAUUAGUACCCUGUGGUUUUGCACUUUUUCACUUUAGUACCCUGUGGUUUAAAUUGUGUCAAUUUAAUACCCUGUGGUUUCCCAUUUUCUCACUUUAGUAUCAUGUGGUUUCGUACUUUCUCGCUUUAGAACCCUGUGGUUUAAAAACCACAUGGUACUAACUUGAUACAAAAAAUAAAACCACAUGGUACUAACUUGAUACAAAAAUAAAACCACAGAGUACUAACUUGAUACACUUUAAACCACAGGAUAAUAAAGUGAGAAAGUGUGAAACCACAGGGUACUAACUUGAUACAUUUUAAACCACGUGGUACUAAAAUGAAAACGAGUGAA